UACGGAGGGUGCAAGCGUUAUCCGGAUUUAUUGGGUUUAAAGGGUGCGUAGGCGGGUUAUUAAGUCAGUGGUGAAAGCCUACAGCUUAACUGUAGAACUGCCAUUGAUACUGAUGAUCUUGAGUAUGAUUGAGGUGGGCGGAAUGUGUCAUGUAGCGGUGAAAUGCUUAGAUAUGACACAGAACACCGAUUGCGAAGGCAGCUCACUAAGCCAAUACUGACGCUGAUGCACGAAAGCGUGGGGAGCAAACAGG
rnacentral:rRNA from 1 species